rnacentral:sRNA from 1 species
AGCCUUCCUAGAUCCCCUCCACUCGGUUUCUCUCUUUGCAGGAGCACCGGCAGCACCAGUGUGUGAGGGGAGCAGGCAGCGGUCCCAGCCAGUUCCUUGAUCCUGCCAGACCACCCAGCCCCCGGCACAGAGCUGCUCCACAGGCACCAUGAGGAUCAUGCUGCUAUUCACAGCCAUCCUGGCCUUCAGCCUAGCUCAGAGCUUUGGGGCUGUCUGUAAGGAGCCACAGGAGGAGGUGGUUCCUGGCGGGGGCCGCAGCAAGAGGGAUCCAGAUCUCUACCGGCUGCUCCAGAGACUCUUCAAAAGCCACUCAUCUCUGGAGGGAUUGCUCAAAGCCCUGAGCCAGGCUAGCACAGAUCCUAAGGAAUCAACAUCUCCCGAGAAACGUAAGUACCCUCUUCUCCCUCCCUAUCUCUUGCCACUUGCCCAGAGCUCUGUGGGGCAUUGGGCCCAGGGCCCAUUUUGUCCAGCCCCUUCUCACCUGGUACAAACAAUAUGCCAGCUCCCACUGCUCAGCCAACCUUUCCUGAAAGGGAGAGGCCAUCCGGAACUAGGAGGAAGCUAGUGUGAGGGGCAUG